GACGAACGCUGGCGGCGUGCUUAACACAUGCAAGUCGAACGAUGAAGCUGGAGCUUGCUCUGGUGGAUUAGUGGCGAACGGGUGAGUAACACGUGAGUAACCUGCCCUGGACUCUGGGAUAACCCCGAGAAAUCGGAGCUAAUACCGGAUAGGACCUCGGAUCGCAUGAUCUGGGGUGGAAAGUUUUUCGGUCUGGGAUGGACUCGCGGCCUAUCAGCUUGUUGGUGAGGUAAUGGCUCACCAAGGCGUCGACGGGUAGCCGGCCUGAGAGGGGGACCGGCCACACUGGGACUGAGACACGGCCCAGACUCCUACGGGAGGCAGCAGUGGGGAAUAUUGCACAAUGGGCGCAAGCCUGAUGCAGCAACGCCGCGUGCGGGAUGACGGCCUUCGGGUUGUAAACCGCUUUUAGUAGGGAAGAAGCCUUCGGGUGACGGUACCUGCAGAAAAAGGACCGGCUAACUACGUGCCAGCCGCCGCCGUAACAC
rnacentral:rRNA from 1 species